UGGGGAAUCUUGCGCAAUGGGAGCAAUCCUGACGCAGCAACGCCGCGUGGGUGAUGAAGGUCUUCGGAUCGUAAAGCCCUGUCGGAGGGGAAGAUGCUUGUGCAUGCUAAUAGUAUGCACAGGUGACGGUACCCUCAAAGGAAGCACCGGCUAACUCUGUGCCAGCAGCCGCGGUAAUACAGAGGGUGCAAGCGUUGUUCGGAAUUAUUGGGCGUAAAGGGAGUGUAGGCUGUUUGUUAAGUCUUCUGUGAAAUCUACGGGCUUACCCUGUAAAGUGCAGAGGAAACUAGCAGACUUGAGUGUCGGAGAGGAUAGGGGAAUUCCCGGUGUAGAGGUGAAAUUCGUAGAGAUCGGGAGGAACACCAGUGGCGAAGGCGCCUAUCUGGCUGACAACUGACGCUGAGACUCGAAAGCAUGGGGAGCAAACAG
rnacentral:rRNA from 1 species